AUUGCCCUGGCAAGUAGCUCAGGGCUAUUGCCCUCAGGCACUUCAGAAGGGAGGAGUCUCUGGGAGGAAGUUGGUCAUGCUCCUUCCUAUCCCAGGUUGCUACUGUUGCUGUUCCUGGCUGGUGCAAGCUUGGUCUCAGGAACCUCUGGGGAGAGGAUGGCCAGGCCCCUUCCUGCCUCUGGUUGCUGCUAGCUUGAUCUCAGAGCUUUUGGGGCUGCCUCACUGCAUCUGAUCCUGCUUUGUCUUCCUGCCUGCUGCCGUGCUGCUGAAUGCCUGCCUGGAGGCCUGAGGGUAUCCUGGACUGAUCUUCAACAAAAAAAGUCCUAUCACCACUCCAGCCAUAUUUUACAUCUGCCUCAGCAGCCUUCCUGUGUGUUUUACCCUUGUGUGGCACCCCAUCAACCAUCCCACCAAGUCCCGGGACCUCAUUAACCUCCUCCUGAUCCUGGCCAAAUGGGUCCUGCACAUGACCAGGAAGAAGACUCUGGCUGGGAAGGUGCCUGGGGACUGUGGUGCCACAUUCCUUUCACUGGUCUGUACACUUCUCCAAGUGGAGCACCACUGGGCAGCAUGCACCAGCUCCUUGGGGCUCUGAUUGGUGUCCCCCUCAGGAGUACUCAUUUUCAUGCUUUGACCUUCACAUCACUCCUGUCCUGUUGUUGUUUUUUUUUUUUU